AGUCCAGAUUAUGUCGAGCUGCAAACUUGAUUUUGGGUUUUUCCCCUGGACUU
rnacentral:tRNA from 1 species